ACCUCAUGUCAAAUUGUCAAUUGCCUGAUGUCACGCUGUUUUCCUUUUCAAAAGUCAUUUUCCGUCAUUGAGAUUAUUGAUUUUACUGUUUUAAUAAAAACUAACGUUGCUACGUUACAUUUCGUAAAACCACCAAGUAUUUCUCAAAGUAUAUAAUGGGCAAAAAAGGUGUUGUUGCGACUGUGAAAGAUUUCUAUUACGAUCCCUUCAAGUGGUCACUAGUAAAGAGCGUGGGCAUAUUCGCAGCCGGCGUAGUGAUCGCGAGCGAGUGCGCCGGGCUUGAGAUAAUGCCCGCGAUGCCGCAAUAAACACAUCAUACUCCAAUCAAUUCUAUUCUUCUAAGUUUAAGAAUUAUACAUAAAAAAUGUUAAAUUAUUUAUUGUUCUUUUCGCUCCUCGGAGUAAGUGUUUGUCAAAAGAGGCCGAAUAUAGUUUUGGUAUUGACAGAUGAUCAAGAUGUUGUGUUGGGGGGCAUGACGCCCAUGAAGAGCGUGCAACGGUUUAUUGCGGAUGAAGGUGUCACGUUUACUAAUUCGGUAAGUUUAAUUACUCAGCUGUUAAAAAACAAUAAAAUA